rnacentral:tRNA from 1 species
AGCUUUGUGAUAGCUCCGUUGGUAGAGCACGAGACUCUUAAUCUCAGGGCUGUGGGUUCGAGUCCCAUUUUGGCCA